UUCGCUGACGAGCACGUGCCUGGGAGCCCAUUUACCGUGAAGAUCAGUGGGGAGGGAAGAGUCAAAGAGAGCAUCACCCGCACCAGUCGGGCCCCGUCCGUGGCCACUGUCGGGAGCAUUUGUGACCUGAACCUGAAAAUCCCAGGGGUCAGAGUCAUGAACUGCUCUGCCCAGAUCCUGUGGGGCUGGAGGGUGCAGUUUCAUACUGGCUCUAGGUGAUGGCAGUGCUCCGUGCCCCGCAUGCGGCCGCCUGGCCUCACCACGGCAGUGCAGGCACAGUCGUUGGCAUGACAAAUCAACAGCAGUGAUAUGUCG
rnacentral:lncRNA from 1 species